CAAGCCGAUGAUGAUAUGAAGUUAUCCCUGUCUGAAUGAUAGAUGUUGAAACCAUUGAUCUCUGAUGGCUGA